GGGUUGUGAGGUUAAGCGACUAAGCGUACACGGUGGAUGCCCUGGCAGUCAGAGGCGAUGAAGGGCGUGCUAAUCUGCGAUAAGCGCCGGUAAGGUGAUAUGAACCGUUAUAACCGGCGAUACCCGAAUGGGGAAACCCAGUGUGAUUCGUCACACUAUCAUUAACUGAAUCCAUAGGUUAAUGAGGCGAACCGGGGGAACUGAAACAUCUAAGUACCCCGAGGAAAAGAAAUCAACCGAGAUUCCCCCAGUAGCGGCGAGCGAACGGGGAGGAGCCCAGAGCCUGAAUCAGCAUGUGUGUUAGUGGAAGCGUCUGGAAAGGCGCGCGAUACAGGGUGACAGCCCCGUACACAAAAGCGCAUGUGCUGUGAGCUCGAUGAGUAGGGCGGGACACGUGGUAUCCUGUCUGAAUAUGGGGGGACCAUCCUCCAAGGCUAAAUACUCCUGACUGACCGAUAGUGAACCAGUACCGUGAGGGAAAGGCGAAAAGAACCCCGGCGAGGGGAGUGAAAAAGAACCUGAAACCGUGUACGUACAAGCAGUGGGAGCCCCACCACUAAGCCAGUGGUGAACUCCACAUACGCAUCCUUUGCUGAAGGCAAUGGUUAACGGAGCGAAAGCGACGUUCAACCGCAAAACAAGCAGAGGGGGCUUAG
rnacentral:rRNA from 1 species